UCUGGCUUUAGGUCUGGGACAACCACUGGAAACGGUGGCUAAUACCGGAUGUGCCGAAAGGUGAAAGAUUAAUUGCCUAAAGAUGAGCUCGCGUCUGAUUAGCUAGUUGGAAGUGUAAUGGACUCCCAAGGCGACGAUCAGUAGCUGGUCUGAGAGGACGAUCAGCCACACUGGGACUGAGACACGGCCCAGACUCCUACGGGAGGCAGCAGUGGGGAAUUUUCCGCAAUGGGCGAAAGCCUGACGGAGCAAUACCGCGUGAGGGAGGAAGGCUCUUGGGUCGUAAACCUCUUUUCUCAGGGAAGAACAAAAUGACGGUACCUGAGGAAUAAGCAUCGGCUAACUCCGUGCCAGCAGCCGCGGUAAUACGGAGGAUGCAAGCGUUAUCCGGAAUGAUUGGCCGUAAAGCGUCCGCAGGUGGCAAUGUAAGUCUGCUGUUAAAGAGUCUAGCUCAACUAGAUAAGAGCAGUGGAAACUACAUAGCUAGAGUACGUUCGGGGCAGAAGGAAUUCCUGGUGUACCGGUGAAAUGCGUAGAGAUCAGGAAGAACACCAGUGGCGAAGGCGCUCUGCUAGGCCGUAACUGACACUGAGGGACGAAAGC
rnacentral:rRNA from 1 species